AACUGAUUUGAAAUUCAUAUCCUCUCAUAUAAAAGGAGUAUUAAUCCAAAGCCCUGAGUUCAAGUGCACUAGAAUGUUGUAAACCCCAAAGGAUUUAUUGGAGAAAACUCUGAAUAUCAGCCUGUCUGAGGCCAGACACCAUUCCUGCUCUCCUGAGUCCCAAAGUCCCAGGAUCCAUGCCUCUGCCUUAGCUGCCCUCAGCCCCUAGAAUCCCGGUCACCAACAGCUGGGAUCUCUGCAAAAACUUUCCCGAGUAACACAAACUAGGUUGCCAAUCUCUACCCACAUGCCACACUGGAACAAAUCAUUUGGAAAACAUUAGACCCAGAAAACAUCUUGCAUUUCCCACCUCCCUCUCUCUCUGUCGUUCUGAGGUUUUCAUGGAAGCCCUAAGCCUUCUGUUGGUCAGCUGGAGCUUCUUCCAUUACCUAAUCUUCAAACUACACUGUUCCUCCCUUGGCCUCCUCCCCUUCCGUAAAGGGCGCCAUCAUCCACUCACUCAAACCAGCGAGGUGAAGUCACCCUAACUCUUCCUUUCCUUCUCUCCUGUGUGCACGCUAUCAGUAAGUCCUGUCGAUUCCAGAUCCCAAUGGAAAGCCAGAUCAGCCUUUCUGGGGUCCUUUUGCUGGUCUCCUUUCCAACUACCACACCCUUUCUCAAACCCUCAGUUCUCACUUGGACACAUGCAGCAGCCUCCUGAAUGCGUUCAGAAUGAUCUCCCCCCAGUUCCCCCAACACACCAAGCUCUCUCCCACUCUGUCCUUGCCUCACACUGACCCUGUACCUGACAUGUGCUUUCUGCAGGCUUGACCUGGACCACUCCUUCCUAGAUUUCAGUCUCAGAACUUGUCAUCUCCCCAGGGUGACCUUCCCGCCCACUUAGACAAAUAAACUCAUCUCCUGCCACUGUCCC
rnacentral:lncRNA from 1 species